rnacentral:lncRNA from 1 species
UUUCUACAUCUUUGUUAUCUUUGUAAAUAAUUUUUUGGCUUGAAUCGUAUAACAUACUCAUACAAUUCAAAGUUGCAAAAGUCUUGACCCACAAAUUACCAUCUCAUGUGGAUUUGGGAGAUAAGAAAUUUACAAGUUGAAAUGCAUUGAGCUUUGAUAAUUCUUACAUAUUGAAAACCUUUUUAUUUGUACAAUAUAUUCUAAUGGCAUUUCAAUAUUUAUGUUUACAUUUCAUUUUCUUUUAAAUUUUUAAGCAGAUUCAUGGGUCACAAAGGCUACCAUGGGCUUCAGAAUUGGACUUUAAUAUCUAAGAGGCAUUCCCUUAUUAUAAUACGAAAUGCUUUUGGAAGUUGGUUAUAGAAUUCC